rnacentral:rRNA from 1 species
CGCCUACCAUGCAAGUCGAGCGAGAUCUUCGGAUCUAGCGGCGGACGGGUGAGUAACGCGUGGGAACGUACCCUCUUCUGCGGGAUAGCCACUGGAAACGGUGAGUAAUACCGCAUACGCCCUUCGGGGGAAAGAUUUAUCGGAGGAGGAUCGGCCCGCGUUGGAUUAGGUAGUUGGUGGGGUAAUGGCCUACCAAGCCUACGAUCCAUAGCUGGUUUUAGAGGAUGAUCAGCCACACUGGGACUGAGACACGGCCCAGACUCCUACGGGAGGCAGCAGUGGGGAAUCUUAGACAAUGGGCGCAAGCCUGAUCUAGCCAUGCCGCGUGAGUGACGAAGGCCUUAGGGUCGUAAAGCUCUUUCGCCUGUGAUGAUAAUGACAGUAGCAGGUAAAGAAACCCCGGCUAACUCCGUGCCAGCAGCCGCGGUAAUACGGAGGGGGUUAGCGUUGUUCGGAAUUACUGGGCGUAAAGCGCACGUAGGCGGAUUGGAAAGUAUGGGGUGAAAUCCCAGGGCUCAACCCUGGAACGGCCUCAUAAACUUCCAGUCUGGAGUUCGAGAGAGGUGAGUGGAAUUCCGAGUGUAGAGGUGAAAUUCGUAGAUAUUCGGAGGAACACCAGUGGCGAAGGCGGCUCACUGGCUCGAUACUGACGCUGAGGUGCGAAAGUGUGGGGAGCAAACAGGAUUAGAUACCCUGGUAGUCCAC